rnacentral:tRNA from 4 species
GCCCGGGUGGUGAAACGGUAGACACAAGGGAUUUAAAAUCCCUCGGCCUUAAACGGGCCGUACGAGUUCAAGUCUCGUCCUGGGCACCA